GACGAACGCUGGCGGCGUGCCUAAUACAUGCAAGUCGAGCGGACUUGAUGGAGAGCUUGCUCUCCUGAGAGUUAGCGGCGGACGGGUGAGUAACACGUAGGCAACCUGCCCUUAGGACUGGGAUAACUACCGGAAACGGUAGCUAAUACCAGAUAAUUCACUUCUUCGCAUGGAGAAGUGAGGAAAGACGGAGUAAUCUGUCACCGGAGGAUGGGCCUGCGGCGCAUUAGCUAGUUGGAGAGGUAACGGCUCCCCAAGGCGACGAUGCGUAGCCGACCUGAGAGGGUGAUCGGCCACACUGGGACUGAGACACGGCCCAGACUCCUACGGGAGGCAGCAGUAGGGAAUCUUCCGCAAUGGGCGAAAGCCUGACGGAGCAACGCCGCGUGAGUGAUGAAGGUUUUCGGAUCGUAAAGCUCUGUUGCCAAGGAAGAACGUCCUUAAGAGUAACUGCUUAAGGAGUGACGGUACUUGAGAAGAAAGCCCCGGCUAACUACGUGCCAGCCGCCGCCGUAAAAC
rnacentral:rRNA from 1 species